rnacentral:lncRNA from 1 species
GGUAAUUUUAUCAAGCUUUUAAUGUAGUAGCACUAGUAUGAAUGAGCUCCAUUUCGCUUAUUUCUACAAAAGGGACAUUAGAUAGUAAGUUUAUUGAGAUGCGAAAAAACUCGUGCAUCGCAUGCAUUCACCACGGAGAUGCAUAGAAUUGCAAUUUUUCUAUCUAACAGAUAACCAAAUCAAAUUGUUUAGUCUUAUCAUUUGAAUCUGUUUGGAGGCUUUGCAAAUGUAUAAAAGUCAGGCACACGACCCCUAAAGUCAUUUUAGCAAGAUGGGACUUGGUAUUGUAUUUUUGCAAAGUUCAAUGACCAUGAACCUCGUUAUUUGGAGUGGAUAAGCAUCUUAGAGGAAGGGUGAUAAAACGAGGAGCAUGAUCGAAAAGAUGGUUUGAGGAACAAGAGUGAGGAUAAUCCAAGUGCCUUAUUGAAAACCGAGCGUUGAGUAAAUAUAACGAAAAGAUGGGGGGAGUAGCAUGCUUUGCUUUCUUUUGCUGUUUUCUCUAAUAGAUUGACCAACAAUCAGCUUUGGCCCCCUUAUUCAAGUUUUGGCUAUCGCGCCGCGGCAGCACAACCGAGUUUCGUGGCAAACAGUAGGCAUUUGAAUCAAAUAUUCAUAUAAAUAUCCUUGGUUUAUUUAUACCCUGUCUAAAUGCAAGCAACACUAUUGCUUGCUGAAGGAAAAGGGUUUGAAAGGCAAAAAAAAAACUAAUAAGGAUUAAGGUCAGCCAUUCAAUCGAUAAUCGAGUAUAGUCGACCAUCGAAAACGUUUCAUUAACAAUCGAAUAUUCCAUCAGCAGUUAGCAUUUCAUUAAUGGCUUGGACAUUUCUUUAACAAUCGAGCAUUUCACCAAGGGUCAAGCAUACUUGAUAUUCAAACAAGUCAAUUUCGAAAGUGCCUAUUCCAUAUUGAAUUUGUUUGAAAAAAAAAUAAAAUAAAAAAAGGAAGAAAAAAAAAUUUUCUUAAUUCUAUCCACUUGGAAAUCAAACGUUUGCCUCAACUCUUUCUACCUUGCCCAGCCUAUCUAACAGCAGUAUGCCAUAUCGACUAUACUACGAAUUAUGUAAACCCAUCUAGUUAUUGGGAUGGAAAUCCGCCUCUCAAAAAAAAAAAAAAGGAUUGAUUUUCAAUUAAAUAACCUACAUUUACCAACGUUGAUUACCUAAUGACGAUUGAAAAAAAAAAUAAAUAAAUAAAGAAAAAAAAAAUUGCAAGCAGCCGGAUUUGUCCUGAUAAUAAUAAUCAACAGACUCCUCAAUCAGUUGUGGAUUGUUAGAUAAAAUGUUUUAUCUUUUAUCUCCCAUUCUUUCAUUUAUUUUAUCUGCUUUUUAUUUUUUUAAUUUUCUUUGUUUGUUUCUUUUUUGCAGUCUCGAUGAAGGAGAAGAACGUCUGUAAAAAUAUCAAACAUCGUCGAAAAAAAUUCUAUCAAGUGGAUAAGCGAUCGUUCACCUGCAAAUUCUUAUCUCUCCCCUUCUUGCUGUUGCAUUGCAGUAAACUGGUAAAAGCGAGAUAUCGGUUUUUCCGUGCAGCGCUGAAACCUGCGUAAAGCUCUAGAAUGAAAAAGAAAAAAGAAAGGAUCGAAAGAGGAACCAAAAUGUCUUAUGUUCCAAGUGUGUGCUGGUAAGUUGGGUAAAUUCACCAACAGUAACUUGUGCAUCUCUUUGUUGCCAGUGAACUUUCGCAUCUAAUUUGCAGUUCAUCAAUUGAGCCUUAAUAAGUUGUCAUUAUAGAGAGAGAGAGAGAGGUAGGAAAAAAAAAAGCACAUACACACACACAAAGCUUCAUAAUUACAAUUCCGUUUGAUGGCUUAUUUCAUUGAUGCUUUGUGUUUGUUUGCUUUUUUUCUUCUUACGUUGAACAUUUACAUUAUGCUAUAAGUUUGUCUUUCGAACGUCAAUUUACACAUGGAAUGGAAACGUGUUUUCUACUAAGCAUGUGCUUUGGAAGAGUGUGUCUCGGCUUACCCUUCUUCUCCAGGUUAAUUGACUGAUAGUAACUCCGGAACGAGCGGUUACUCACUUCUUGCUCCUUGUUUUUCCGUCCUACCCUAUCUCUUCUCUCCUAGACCUCUUUCCUAACGGUUUAUUCUCGCUUAUCAGUUUAAACUUGUGCCUAUACGCACAAGGAGUUGAUUAUGUUUCCACGUCCAAUUGUUAUCCGUCUCUUUCCGCUUCCUUAUCUGCUGCAAAACUUUGGUUGCCCCUGCCUCGUAAUUCGAUUUUCUGACUGUGGCUAAUAGCUUUAUGCCCUCUUGUUCAUGGACGGUGGAAUGGAUGAUGACAGCUUGUUACAUGCAUGUCUUCUUCUUACUUAUGUUUGCAAUUAAAUAGAUAUCGCUCUUGUGCUUGCCUAAUUAUGAGUUCAUUAUGUUCACUUGUGCUUGUACUUAAAAUUUCAUUUACGCAUUCCUUGAUCUCAUUCAUAAAGCGUUCUAGGGAGCUUCACAUCCGUGCUAGAUAGGAUGAUCUUUAUUUUAAUAGACGAUCGGAAGUCAUUGGCUUGGUUGCUAGUAGAUUGCACUCUUCCAAAUAGGGUAACUAAGAUAAGACGAUUAUUAUUUGGUUUUCGAUUCUUGUUAGCUCAAUGAGUAUGGGAAAAUACAACUUUCAUCUCAUGUGGUCAACACUGCAAUUGUUCGACACAAGUAAUUUUUUUUUGGUGCUAUGUGUUUGUCAAUUUUGGGUCGGGGCCCAGUCGCGCUACUCCACUUUUGAUGAAAUUUGUGAACUUUUUUUUUGCAACCCUUUUCUUGCUCUCCAAGUGCCAGUUUCUUCUUUGCUACUUACUGCUUAUCUAUAAAGUAUUGUUAACUAAGUUAUCGACACUUAAGUUUUUGGCAAAUUUCCUCUACCCGUUACUUGAUAUUACCUUACGUCAACCGCCAACGAUUUUUCCUUAUCCAUAUUGUGCGGCUAAUUUUCGCAUAAAAUAGGGCCCAUUCCCAUUCAAUUUUAAUCUUUUCUUCAGACAAUCGGUUCGAAUUGUUUUCAAAAGAGCAAAAGGUUCGCUUCCUUAGUGAUUUUCCUCCCUUUUAUUAAAAAAAACUUAUACAUCUUGCG